AUCAUAUAACUUCAAGUAGCAAUGAAAAUAAUUUUGGAGAUGAUUCAUCGAUACGUUUAAAAAUUAGUAAAUCCCGCGAAAGAAAGAGCCAAUCAGGAAGCUCGACAGUUUUACUUUCAACGUACUUCUUGCAUCAUUCGGUUAGUUUGAAUGAAGAGGAUGAUAAUGGUGGUAUUUGUGUUUUUCUUGUUAAAAUUUAGUGACAGUCAAGAAUUACGGACUUAAAUAAAAUAAAUAAAACGAAUGUGCUUUCGUACAAUCUCGUCACACCGUGUUUGUGACCUUUGGAUCGAGUAUACGUUAUGCUCCUUAAUUUUCACGAACGAUACUGAGACAAGUAUUCCAAUAGGUAAUUCGACGUCGAAUAAAAUCCUUAAAUGAUCGCCGUGUCGACCGACAAGAAGGAGGAGGAGGCCUUCGAAUCUUCGUGCUGGCUGGAGAGGCGAUCGUACAUGUUCUUAGAGCGUAAGGAGCGAUUGUUGUCGGCAAUGGGCCGUUGUCGCAAUGGGAAGUCUCCUCUUGCAACCGGCACUAAAUCGUUUCGCUUCGGCACGUCGCAAGAGUCAGAAGCGGUCCCAGUCGAGCGUUUCGCCGGAACCUAUCUCAUUUCUCGAUCGUACGAUCGCACCAAAAGACGGAUAUCUUUAAUUUCUAAUAACGAAUCUUCGAGGGAAUCCAAGAGAUAUAAAUAUCGGAUAAGAAUGAAACAACGACGAGAAAAAAAAAAGAAAGAAAAAUAAGGAACUCGGUCGUGCCGCUUGAUGAGAAUCAUUUGAAAUUCCCGCUCUACGUCUCGAUUGGUCCCCAGGGACCAGAAGCUGUGUAUCGACCUUCGGCCCUUUUCGAUUGUGACGUAGCGACGACAGCGCCGGUCGGUAAAGCUGCACCAUAACGAUAACUCGCAACCGACUUUCAUCGAUGUUUUUCGGUCGAUACGGCCGGUCUCUUGAUCGGAGACUCCAGGAUUGGCCACCGUCGUGGCGUCGGUAGCGCCAACGACGAGAUCCGACGCAGCGCGCGCGCUCGGUACCUUGCCCGUCGACCGGCCUUGCAAGGCUGCAGGCCAUCGAACUCUUGCCCUACUGCCGCGCCACGUAAUACCACCCGUACGCGAUGCGCAAGAACGAGGAUAACCGACACGACUCGCGCGCCCCUUCCUCGUUGUUCGCUCGCUCAUUCUCGCUCGUUCGUUCGUUCGUUCGUUCGUUCGCUCGCUCGCUCGCUAGCUAGCUAGCUCGCAUAAAGGGGGGAAAAAAAGGAGGGAGCGGCUCGAACACGAUACAGGAACGAAAGCCCAGGGCCGUACGCGUUGUCUUCUACCUUCCUCUUCUCUCGAUUUUAGGAUCGAUCUCCUCCACCCUUUCUUCCUCUGUGAUAUUUCCCAAGAAUUAAUUUUUUUUUUUUCUACUAUUUAUAUAUAAAUAUUAUUAAAAGGAAGGGUAUACGUGACGUAUAUACGCGAGCGAAUAGAUAUUUAAAAUUGACCGUCGAAAUGUCUUGUCUAAGACAAUUUCCUGACACAUCACAUUGAUAUCAAAUGUAUUCGCUAUUUCGGCAACUAUUUUGAAAGUUAUUUAGGUUGCCCGAUCUUAUCCUGUAUAUUAUUCAUCGUUGACAAAUUUUUAAACCGUCGUUUUACGAUUUAUAUUUAUCGCAAGUUGAUUACGAACAUGAAUCGAUUGAAAUUGCAUGGAUUCAUUCGUGGGAAUAGAGAGGGUCGAUGUGAUAAAGCAAUUUCUGUAAAAGGCAAGAAGGGAAAAAGUAUUACGGAUCUGCCUAAAAAUAAAUAGCAAGCUUGCACGAUGUACGGGGAAUCCUCUCUUUCUCUCUCGCGGAACGCAAUUCGUUUAUUGAUUUUGGUUCUGACGUCCGAGGCGUUAUUAAAUUCUUCCUCACUCGAAACGAGAACGGGGACUCUAGCUAGGGGUAAAUAUAUUUUUGAAAAAAUUUUGAAGGGAAAUAUAACUUGGGAUUGAUAUUUUUUUCAAUCGCCGUGGUAUUUAUUAAUUGGACACAGUGGCUACGGCGACGAUGAUCACUUGAAAUUAGUAAUAGUAAUGGAUUCAAGAGGAGUGCAUCAUCGGGGGUUCCUUUCUGUUGGUCGGUAGUAAGAGAGGCCAAACUGUGCCACGGUCGCGCGCGCUUCCAUCGGAACAGGGCUUCUCACCGUCGCGGACGCACUUUUACCCUAUAACGCUUGGUAAGCUCGUUAGCGAGGCGAAUCAUGUGCCGCGGGAUAUGAGCUCAAGCAGAAACCGUAAUUCGCACGAUCGAGAUGUGUUCGUGAAAGAAAUGCCAAGCGCCAUAGAUCCGUCGCGAUCCGUCGAUGCGAAACGUGUUUUCCUUUUGCAAACGAGCACUUUUCUUUUUUUUUCUUUUUUUUUUUUCGUGCAUAUCGAUCAAACCAAAUAAGUAGUGCAAUGAUAUUAUAUAAAAAUAAUUUGAUGUCCCAUUUUUUAUUUUGUGCUGCGUGCAUCGCUCUCUUUUUCCUCUUUUCAUACCUCUAACCAUCGUCAUCGAAUAGGCUCGAUGAUAACGUCAAAGCUCGGUUUUGUUCGCCCAUUCGAGAUAGACGAAAGAUAGCCGCGUCAAAAGCUUCACAAGCGUAUCUAGCUCGUGUUAAAGCCCGGCCGGAAAAAUGUAACGGUAAUUAGUUUUGUUACCAUCCGGAUGCAUAAUUACGGAUUUUGUUAAUAACGGCCAGUUAAUUGGCGAUCUAAUUGCUAAUAAGCCGGAUACUAUAUAACGGGUAAUCGCAAAUAAUUAGUAACGAAGCUAACGAGUGAACUAUCGACUAACUACUUGCCAACUACUAAACAGAAGUAUCGGUAAUGAGCGUUGAUUAUGCCAGUACGAUUACCGUACUGUAUCGUAAUCGUACUUACUCCAUUCUGUAUUGAUACUAUAUGAGUUUCCUAUCACGAUUUCUAUUAACGGCAAUUAAUCCUUAUUAUAAUUAAUAAUUUGACUUUGUUAACCGAUAGAAAUUGCAAAUAGCGAGAAGAGACGUACUCUUUACUGUCGGUCGUGUUACAGCCAAAAAAAAUCACACAACGCAUAAGAAGAAUUUCCAAAAAAAUAUUUUUUAUCAGGGGGAAACGUAAAACUACUGUAGUUUUGUUAUCCCCCGAAACAAACGACCGUAUUAUUCCUUAUUCCUUACGCGGUUCCCACAAUACGAAAUCAAUAUUAAAGGAGUUCCACUGUAAUCGACGCCACAUCCGUCUAUUUUACGAGCCAUUACCUUUCUAGAAAUUCCAUUAGUACCAAAACGAUUCAGCCUUUGGUCGAUCAUCGAAGCCGAGAGAUGCACACGAUCGGAAUUUAAUCUUCGAGUCAUUCGUUGUGAAAGGAGUAAUGAGAAAGAGAGAGAGAGAGAGAGAGAAGGUGGGAGGGGGGAAGAGAGAAGGAAGAGAGACAAAGUAGUAGCGGCUGACCGGCUAACCUCUAGACCCUAGAGUAUGUCGAGAGGGUGCGAACGAAGAGCACCGCUCUCGGUCACGCGAGAAUCAUCAGCCGCCGCGAUUCCUAGAACUCGAUGCUUUUCCGUUACACGUAACGCGUCUCCU